AGCUCCAAAAGCGUAUAUUAAAGUUGUUGCAGUUAAAAAGCUCGUAGUUGGAUUUCUGGCGCUGUUUGCGGUUCAUUGCUUAAUUGUGGUGUAACUAGUUCGAACGGCGCCAUCGUUGGGUGGAACCUGUGUGGCAUUAGGUUGUCGCGCAGGGGAUGCUCAUCUUUUACUGUGAAAAAAUUAGAGUGUUCAAAGCAGGCUUACGCCGUUGAAUAUAUUAGCAUGGAAUAACACUAUACGAUCUUGGAUCUAUUUUGUUGGUUUGCGCUCCGAGAUAAUGAUUAACAGGGACAGUUGGGGGUAUUCGUAUUCCAUUGUCAGAGGUGAAAUUCUUGGAUUUCUGGAAGACGAACUACUGCGAAAGCAUUUACCAAGGAUGUUUUCA
rnacentral:rRNA from 1 species